CUACGGGGGGCUGCAGUGAGGAAUAUUGCACAAUGGGGGAAACCCUGAUGCAGCAACGCCGCGUGGAGGAUGACGCAUUUCGGUGUGUAAACUCCUUUUAUAAGAGAAGAAAAUGACGGUAUCUGAUGAAUAAGCUCCGGCUAACUCCGUGCCAGCAGCCGCGGUAAUACGGAGGGAGCAAGCGUUAUUCGGAAUCACUGGGCGUAAAGGACGCGUAGGCGGGACAGUAAGUCAGGUGUGAAAUCCAAUGGCUCAACCAUUGAACUGCACUUGAAACUGCUGACCUAGAGUACUGAAGGGGCAGAUGGAAUUAGUGGUGUAGGGGUAAAAUCCGUAGAUAUCACUAGGAAUACCGAAAGCGAAGGCGAUCUGCUGGGAAGUUACUGACGCUGAGGCGUGAAAGCGUGGGGAGCAAACAGGAUUAGAUACCCCGGUAGUC
rnacentral:rRNA from 1 species